rnacentral:lncRNA from 10 species
CCAGCAGACAUUUGGCCUCUAGAUCCUUUGAAUGGAGCGUGGUUCCGAGUUGAGACAAAUUACGACCACUGGAAGCCAGCACCCAAGGAAGAUGACCGGAGAACAUCUGCCAUCAAGGCCCUUAAUGCUACAGGACAAGCAAACCUCAGCCUGGAGGCACUUUUCCAGUGAAAGCAGGCCAGGUGCGGUGGCUCACGCCUGUAAUCCCAGCCCUUUGGGAGGCCAAGGCGGGUGGAUCACUUGAGGUCAGGAGUUCAAGACCAGCCUGGCCAACAUGGUGAAACCUCGUCUCUACUAAAAAUACAAAAAUCAACCAGGCAUGACGGUGCACGCCUGUUAUCACAGCUACUUGGGAAGCAGCGGCUGGAGAAUUGCUUGAACCUGGGAAGUCGAGGCUGCAAGUGAGCUGAGAUCAUGCCAUGGCAGUCUAGCCUGGGCAACAGAGCGAGACUCUGUUUCAAAAAAAAAAAGAAAAGAAAACUAAUUAGUCAGUAUUCUGCUACUCAAACAAAUGAGCUAUUUGGAUAACAAAGCAUACCCAGUGGUCUGCUAGUAAACCAGCUCUUUGUGUGGGAAGGGACAAAUGAAAAAAUUCCCAAAUUUGUAGCAUUUGUUGACUUCCAUGGUGUGAAUACUCCCACAUGGCUGAUUUCAGGCUUAUAGUUGGCUCAUACACUUCCUGCAUAUUUAAUAAUUGGCCCUCACCAGACUGUAGGAGCUAGCUCCAAUGCACUAUUGACUGUACCCUUCAUAGCGGGGCACAAUGUUGCCCUUUUAAUAGUCAUUUUUUAAAUGGGGGUUAAUAAACUACUUUUGUGUUCUUAUAGUUUUUUUAGGUAAUUAUAGAAGUGAUGAAUAUAUCUGGCUGGGCGCAGUGGCUCACAUCUGUAAUCCUAGUACUUUGGAAGCCGAGGCGGGUGGAUCACUUGAGGUCAGGAGUUCGAGACCAGCCUGGCCAACAUGGUGAAACCUCAUCUCUACUAAAAAUACAAAAAUUAGCCAGGCGUCAUGGUGCGUGCCUGUAAUCCCAGCUACUUGGGAGGUGGAGGCAGGAAAAUCACUCGAAUCCGGGAGACAGAGGUUGCAGUGAGCUGAGAUUGCACUCCAGCCUGGGCGACAGAGGGAGACUCCGUC